UACGUAGGGGGCAAGCGUUGUCCGGAUUUAUUGGGCGUAAAGAGCGUGUAGGCGGCUUCACAAGUCCGCUGUGAAAACUCGAGGCUCAACCUCGAGCUGUCGGUGGAAACUGUGUGGCUAGAGUCCGGAAGAGGAGAGUGGAAUUCCUGGUGUAGCGGUGAAAUGCGCAGAUAUCAGGAAGAACACCCGUGGCGAAGGCGGCU
rnacentral:rRNA from 1 species